rnacentral:misc_RNA from 1 species
UCCUCUAUAAGGAUGAAAUUGUAGGCUAACCUGAUUCUUUUAAUAGUGUGUAUUCACUUCAAUGCAGUUUUCAUUUUUCCUUCCUGAAGUUUUUGUUUGUGGAAAGGUUUUCUACCAACUGGUUUUCACCAGAAAGUUCUACUUAUUCUUUUGUAUAAUUAGCAUUUAUCGUCUUAAUUGGGUUUCCCUUCAAAAAAAUAAGUAGAACUUUCUGGUGAAAACCAG